GACGAACGCUGGCGGCGUGCUUAACACAUGCAAGUCGAACGGAAAGGCCCUGCUUUUGUGGGGUGCUCGAGUGGCGAACGGGUGAGUAACACGUGAGUAACCUGCCCUUGACUUUGGGAUAACUUCAGGAGACUGGGGCUAAUACCGGAUAGGAGCUCCUGCUGCAUGGUGGUGGUUGGAAAGUUUCGGCGGUUGGGGAUGUACGCGCGGCUUAUCAGCUUGUUGGUGGGGUAGUGGCUUACCAAGGCUUUGACGGGUAGCCGGCCUGAGAGGGUGACCGGCCACAUUGGGACUGAGAUACGGCCCAGACUCAUACGGGAGGCAGCAGUGGGGAAUAUUGCACAUGGGCGGAAGCCUGAUGCAGCAACGCCGCGUGCGGGAUGACGGCCUUCGGGUUGUAAACCGCUUUCGCCUGUGACGAAGCGUGAGUGACGGUAAUGGGUAAAGAAGCACCGGCUAACUACGUG
rnacentral:rRNA from 1 species